rnacentral:rRNA from 1 species
UACGGAGGAUGCAAGCGUUAUCCGGAUUUAUUGGGUUUAAAGGGUGCGCAGGUUGUUUGAUAAGUCAGUGGUGAAAGUCUGUCGCUUAACGGUAGGAUUGCCAUUGAUACUGUUAGGCUUGAAUAUGGAUGAGGUAGGCGGAAUGUGUAGUGUAGCGGUGAAAUGCAUAGAUAUUACACAGAACACCGAUUGCGAAGGCAGCUUACUAAUCCAUCAUUGUCGCUGAGGCACGAAAGCGUGGGGAUCAAACA